CAUUUGACUGUGGGGUGAAGGGUCAUCCAUGGAAGAGGAAGAAGCCUUGGACUUCUCAUCCCACAUCUUUCUUAUUCUCUCAAGCUGUUCAUGGAGUCGCCUCUGAAUCUCAAGUUGCAGUUCCAAAACUCCCCUACUACACGGUAUCCUCGAGUCGUGGGAUGAGUAUGCGAUCUCAAGCUGUUCAUGGAGUCGCCUCUGA
rnacentral:misc_RNA from 1 species